rnacentral:rRNA from 1 species
ACGGAAGGCAGCAGUGGGGAAUAUUGCACAAUGGGGGAAACCCUGAUGCAGCGACGCCGCGUGAGUGAAGAAGUAUUUCGGUAUGUAAAGCUCUUUAAGCAGGGAAGAAAAUGACGGUACCUGCAGAAUAAGCCCCGGCUAACUACGUGCCAGCAGCCGCGGUAAUACGUAGGGGGCAAGCGUUAUCCGGAUUUACUGGGUGUAAAGGGAGCGUAGACGGCAAUGCAAGUCUGAAGUGAAAGCCCGCGGCUCAACUGCGGGACUGCUUUGGAAACUGUAUAGCUUGAGUGUCGGAGAGGUAAGUGGAAUUCCCAGUGUAGCGGUGAAAUGCGUAGAUAUUGGGAGGAACACCAGUGGCGAAGGCGGCUUACUGGACGAUAACUGACGUUGAGGCUCGAAAGCGUGGGGAGCAAACAGGAUUAGAUAUCCUGGUA